UUUUUUUCAGAACUGCCAAUUCAGUUCAUUACUCCACUCAUUGAAUGGGAGUCAGGUACUUUGGCUCAUGUGAAUGAUGUCACCCACAUUUAAGCAAAUGGAGACCAUUGCAGAAAACUCCAAAUGGACACAAUGAAGCUAUAGAGGCAGAGCCCAGCCCUAACUACAGCUACAUCUCAGCUUCUGUGUCAUGACUCAUUGAAGAAGAGGGGGCAGAUUGUAAGAGCCAGAACACCAGAAAGUCUGCUGUGAACAGCCUCUCCUAGAAAUGCUGCACAAACAAGAUCAGAGUAACAGUAAUAUCCAUAGAUAUGCUAAUCCAGAAGAUAUAUGCUAAUGCAGAAUAAUUUCAUGCAGUCCCACCCUUAAACAAUAACUAUGGGCAACUAAUGACUGCCAGGAGAGAGAGAAUUAGCCUCUCCCAGGAAUGAACUCCUGUGUUGGAUAACCAGUACAAAGUGGUGAGCUCUGAAACCAUAUAUACACAAACAAUAAUGGACAUAGAGGUUGUAUUUAUGUAUCUAUGCACAUACAUAUAUACAUAUAUACAUAUAUAUAUGUAUAUAACAAUGAUAAUCAAAGAAAAGGAGGCUAUUAACUUGAGUGUGAGUGUUCAUGAGUGAGAUUAAAAAAAAAGAAACACGAUGAAGCUGAGAUAUGUGAGGUUGCUGCCUUUUACAAGUGUCUUGUUUAAGUAAAUUCGGGUACUCUUGGCAAUGAAAAAUAUUGUAUAGUUUAUACAUAAACAUGG
ensembl:lncRNA